rnacentral:rRNA from 1 species
UCCACGCCGUAAACGAUGUCAACUAGUCGUUGGGCCCCUUGAGGGUUUAGUGACGCAGCUAACGCAUUAAGUUGACCGCCUGGGGAGUACGGUCGCAAGACUAAAACUCAAAGGAAUUGACGGGGGCCCGCACAAGCGGUGGAGCAUGUGGUUUAAUUCGAUGCAACGCGAAGAACCUUACCAUCCCUUGACAUCCGGAGAAUUUUUCAGAGAUGAAUUAGUGCCUUCGGGAACUCCGUGACAGGUGCUGCACGGCUGUCGUCAGCUCGUGUCGUGAGAUGUUGGGUUAAGUCCCG